rnacentral:tRNA from 1 species
GAGGGUAUAGCUCAGUGGUAUAGCACGUGCUUAGCAUGCAAGAGGUCCUGGGUUCGAUCCCAAGUAACUCCU